rnacentral:sRNA from 1 species
UUGUUGUGUAGGUUAUCGUAAAAAGCGUAUACAAUUUUUGGUGUAGGAAGUGAGGAAAGAAGAAACAAUAAAUAUCCGGUGUUAUCGUGAUGUUAUGUGUUCAUCGGGAAUACCCAAAAAUUAUCCAUAUUUACGGAUAAAGUGAAUUGUGAAAAGUAUUAAACGUCUCUGUGAGGUUAAGCUGGCGAUAUUUCCACAGCUUCUUUGCAGUUAUAGGAUAUUCAUCACUACAUUGUAUGUUUUCUUUACAUGUCUGGAUGCACGUAUUUUUAAAUGGAUUAAAUUGUUAAUUUUCUUUUCUAAUAAGCAGUUUCUAAUCUCUUACGAGUUUCUAAGCUGUGAUUUCAUUAGUUCAAAAACAUAGGUGGAUUAUUACAGUGUAGAUAUUUGUUCUCAUUGCUAGUGUAUGUAAAAUGUGCAUGUUUUAAUGUGGUCUUACCAUGGAUGGUCUUUCAUUAUGUGGGAACGGUGUAUCCAAGGAUGACCACUACGAUGGGGAAUUCUAUGGAGGGUCAUUUACUUUAACACCUACACGGUCGUCAUAGCAAAGUGUUAAGAUUGGUCAGCAGUACAAUGGUGAAGGACCGUAACCCCGCGAAAGAAAUGGAGGACCUGAUGAAGAAGGCAUUGAUAUACACGGACUGGGCCAAUCACUACCUGGACAAGGCCCGCAACAAGCGGCAUAUCGUUGACCUACAGAAUGAUGUGGCGGACGGUGUGUUGCUGGCCGAGGUGAUAGAAGCAGUCACCGGUGAGAAGAUCAAAGACAUACGACCGAAACCAAAGAACUCGGCUCAAAUGGU